GACGAACGCUGGCGGCGUGCCUAAUACAUGCAAGUAGGACGCAGUUGCGAACGGGUGAGUAACGCGUAGGUAACUACCUAUUAGAGGGGGAUAACUAUUGGAAACGAUAGCUAAUACCGCAUACUAGUAGAUGGACCUGCGUUGUAUUAGCUAGUAGGUAGGGUAAUGGCCUACCUAGGCAACGAUACAUAGCCGACCGUGGAGGGUGGACGGCCAACCUUGGAAUGGGGCACGGCCCAAGCUCCUACGGGGAGCAGCAGUAGGGGAUCUUCGGCAAUGGGGGGAACGCUGACCGGGCAACGCCGCGUUGGUGAAGAAAGUUUUCGGGUCGGAAAGCUCUGUUGUUGAGGAAGCGGUACUUAACCAGAAAGGGACGGCUAACUACGUGCCAGCCGCCGCGGUAAUAC
rnacentral:rRNA from 1 species